CUACGUGCCAGCAGCCGCGGUAAUACGUAGGGGGCAAGCGUUAUCCGGAUUUACUGGGUGUAAAGGGAGCGUAGACGGAAUGGCAAGUCUGAAGUGAAAUACCCGGGCUCAACCUGGGAACUGCUUUGGAAACUGUUGUUCUAGAGUGUUGGAGAGGUAAGUGGAAUUCCUGGUGUAGCGGUGAAAUGCGUAGAUAUCAGGAAGAGCACCGGAGGCGAAGGCGGCUUACUGGACAAUAACUGACGUUGAGGCUCGAAAGCGUGGGGAUCAAACAGGAUUAGAUACCCUGGUAGUCCACGCUGUAAACGAUGAAUACUAGGUGUCGGGGUGCAAAGCAUCUCGGUGCCGUCGCUAACGCAAUAAGUAUUCCACCUGGGGAGUACGUUCGCAAGAAUGAAACUCAAAGGAAUUGACGGGGACCCGCACAAGCGGUGGAGCAUGUGGUUUAAUUCGAUGCAACGCGAAGAACCUUACCUACUCUUGACAUCCAGA
rnacentral:rRNA from 1 species